rnacentral:rRNA from 1 species
GGCCUACCAUGGUGGUAACGGGUAACGGGGUGUUAGGGCACGACACCGGAGAGGGAGCCUGAGAAACGGCUACCACAUCUAAGGAUGGCAGCAGGCGCGCAAAUUACCCAAUCCCGACACGGGGAGGUAGUGACAAUAAAUAACAAUACGGGGUUCUUUCGGAUCUCGUAAUUGGAAUGAGUACAAUUUAAAUCUCUUAACGAGGAACAAUUGGAGGGCAAGUCUGGUGCCAGCAGCCGCGGUAAUUCCAGCUCCAAUAGCGUAUAUUAAAGUUGUUGCAGUUAAAAAGCUCGUAGUUGAAUUUCGGGGUUAGUAAGUUGGUCAUGCCAUUGGUAUGCACUGGCUUUACUGAUUCCUCCUUCUUGACGAACCGUGAUGUCAUUAAUUUGGUAUUGCGGGAAAUCAGGACUGUUACUUUGAAAAAAUUAGAGUGUUUAAAGCAGGCUAACGCUUGAAUACAUUAGCAUGGAAUAAUGAAAUAGGACGUUAAUCCUAUUUUGUUGGUUUCUAGGAUCGACGUAAUGAUUAAUAGGGAUAGUUGGGGGCAUUAGUAUUCAAUUGUCAGAGGUGAAAUUCUUGGAUUUAUUGAAGACUAACUACUGCGAAAGCAUUUGCCAAGGAUGUUUUCAUUAAUCAAGAAUGAAAGUUAGGGGAUCGAAGACGAUCAGAUACCAUCGUAGUCUUAACCAUAAACUAUGCCGACUAGGGAUCGGAUGAUGUUAAUUCUUUAAUGACUCAUUCGGCGCCUUACG